rnacentral:rRNA from 1 species
GACGAACGCUGGCGGCGUGCUUAACACAUGCAAGUCGAACGGAAAGGCCCUGCUUUUGUGGGGUGCUCGAGUGGCGAACGGGUGAGUAACACGUGAGUAACCUGCCCUUGACUUUGGGAUAACUUCAGGAAACUGGGGCUAAUACCGGAUAGGAGCUCCUGCUGCAUGGUGGAGGUUGGAAAGUUUCGGCGGUUGGGGAUGGACUCGCGGGUUAUCAGCUUGUUGGUGGGGUUGUGGCUUACAAAGGGUUUGACGGGUAGCCGGCCUGAGAGGGUGACCGGCCACAUUGGGACUGAGAUACGGCCCAGACUCCUACGGGAGGCAGCAGUGGGGAAUAUUGCACAAUGGGCGGAAGCCUGAUGCAGCAACGCCGCGUGCGGGAUGACGGCCUUCGGGUUGUAAACCGCUUUCGCCUGUGACGAAGCGUGAGUGACGGUAAUGGGUAAAGAAGCACCGGCCAACUACGUG